AUGGGAGGUCUUCUUGGCAAGAACAGGAGGCUCUGUGUGUUCCCUAAGAAAGUUAUUUUCUGUAAGACCAAGGGGAAAAGGGCAUCCAGGACUGCAGGUACAUCCUGUGAUGCUUCAACAUGGACUGGAGAGAACCAUUUUUAUUCAGCACGCAUAGGAAGGACCCCCAGAGCCCCCGAGCCUUCUUUUGCAGAGUCAGAUUCCUUAAACACCCCUGAAGGUGAAUCUGCUGCCCAAGCUAGAAAGGACACAGGAGCUGCAUCUCUGCACAUACAACAUACUGAGGCCCUGCUUUGUGCCUCUUCUAGAGAUGCACACAAUAGUGAGGAGAGACAGGACCCUGAAACCAAACCCAGUACAGAGGGGGUGAAGAACCAGGAACCUGCUGAACAGCCAAAACAAGAAGCCCAAUCUGCCAGAGGCAAUCUACAAGAGAGGGGUAAAGCUCCAGCUGAUGAGCAUCCUACUAGUGGCUGGGUACCCCACGAGCAACUCAGCUGCAGGGAUGAAGAAGUGAGGAUUCUUACAGAGACAACUGUGAAGGCUGAAGUCCAUGUGUGUGCUGAAGCCCAAGGUGAGGUUCAGCCUGCUGGAGUGGAGUCCAGGCUGUCAAUUCCUGCAGAAGAAGAUGUGACAGUUCUGUGUGAUUCAGAGGAAACUUGUAAGGGAAAGGAUCAUCAGGAAGUGCAUGUGGAGAAGGCAGCUGAGUCCCCAGCUGCUCUGUGUACAAUGCAGGAGACAGAGCUGCUUCUGAAGACCAUGGAGACAAGAGAAGACAUUGCAAGUAUGCAGAGAUCUGCAGGAGAAGAGAAAACACACUUUGCUGCUAAAGCCUCACCUGAUCCCCAGUUGGAACAUGAUAAAGAGGUUCCUCUUCAUGAGUAUAUGGAGGAAAACCCUUCUGAAUUGGAGCAAGCUGAAGAACAGACUGAGGUUGGUGAUGAUGGACAAACACCAAAUGAAAUACCAUGCUGCCUGGUAGAAACCCAGGCUGCUCUGCAGGAUAAGGAAGAGAUCAAAGCUAGCGAUGAGGGAAAACAGCCUGCUGAUGAGGAAUGCUGA
rnacentral:lncRNA from 1 species